rnacentral:misc_RNA from 1 species
AACGCACCUUGCGCUCCUUGGUAUUCCGAGGAGCAUGCCUGUUUGAGUGUCAUUAAAUUCUCAACCUCACCAAUUUUGUCAUGAAGUUGUGUGUAGGCUUGGAGGUGGGGGGUUUUGCAGGUCCACAAUAUGGUGGUCUGCUCCUCUGAAAUGUAUUAGCGGGUUAGGCCCCUAAUCUAUUGGUGUGAUAACUAUCUACUCCGUGGAUUGGGUUUUGGCUUAUCCAUAGACCUGCUCCAAACCGUCCUUCUCUGGACAACUCCUGACAUUUUUGGCCUCAAAUCAGGUAAGACUACCCGCUGAACUUAA